rnacentral:misc_RNA from 1 species
AACGCACCUUGCACCCUUUGGUAUUCCGAAGGGUAUGCCUGUUUGAGUGUCAUUAACGUCUCAACUCUACAAGUCUUAACUGACUCGUAGAGCUUGGAUUGUGGAGUGUGCUGGCGCAAGUCAGCUCCUCUCUAAAUGCAUUAGCAUAAGGUUCUAGACUAUUAGCGGUCGGUGUGAUAAGUAUCUACGCCCAUACUGCGAACGUUGAAGCCUAGCUUCUAACCGUCCGUAAGGACACUACCUUAAUGUUUGACCUCAAAUCAGGUAGGACUACCCGCUGAACUUAA